GGAAGAGACGGUCCAGGCACAGGCUCUGCAGGGCCAGGGGAGGGCUCGUGCAGAUUUGAGGAUCUGAGAGACAGCCAGUGUCACUGCAGGACAGAAAAAGGGAAGAGCCGAGGCUGGGAGCAGACAGUGGGGGUGGCUCACAGGACCUCGAACAGUUCGGUCUUCAUCCCACAAGCAGCAGAUGGAAGGGAAGGCAAUCAGUGAAGCUCAGCAGGGGUGCCGAGAGACAAGACCAGAUCUGGGUUUCUUGUUGUUGUUUCUCAGAUCACCUUGAUGAGAAGGGUGGGAGAAAGUCGAGAAUGGAAGCAAAUAGAACCAUUAAGAAACAUGUAAUUUACAGUACAGGAAUUAUUCCACAAUAAAGGCGUUCCAAAAAAAAAAAGGGAGAAGAAGGGUUUAAAAAAAAUAAAGAGAAAAUCUUACACUGGUUCAGCUUAGAGAGGAUGGUGGCUUGAACAAGGUGGUCACAGUGGAGAAGGUGGAUUUAAGGUGUUUCUUGGGGCACUCAGUGAAAGCAUGAAAUGAAUGAAUGAAUGAAUGAAACUAAUGGUCUGUAUAUGCAGCUAUUCCUCUCUGUCUUCAGGUUUUACAACACUGUCUCUCUGGAAGGUGAAAUUGAUGGCUCCAUGCAGAACGUCUUGAUAUCUGAUAAUGAAGACCCAGUCUAGGAAGAAGGGGAACUUAAAUGGUGUUCUGGAAGAUGGUGAGACUCCCUCCAGCUGGGCAGAAGGAAGAAGAGAGAACAAGAGGUUGGACCCCUGCAGACUUUCACAGGCCAUGGAGGACCCAAGGCAAGGACUUAACUGGAGAAAGGGGUCCCUCCAUUACCUGCCUGCCAAGAAGGAUGGCGAUCAGAGGAAUGAAAGGCAGUUGGCCGUCUUUGAAUACCCAGAGUGUCUCACAGCCAAUACAACCUGAAGAAUAUGGAUA